GAGUUUGAUCGUGGCUCAGAUUGAACGCUGGCGGCAUGCCUUACACAUGCAAGUCGAACGGUAACAGGUUAAGCUGACGAGUGGCGAACGGGUGAGUAAUGUAUCGGAACGUGCCCAGUUGUGGGGGAUAACUGCUCGAAAGAGCAGCUAAUACCGCAUACGACCUGAGGGUGAAAGCGGGGGAUCGCAAGACCUCGCGCAAUUGGAGCGGCCGAUAUCAGAUUAGGUAGUUGGUGGGGUAAAGGCCCACCAAGCCAACGAUCUGUAGCUGGUCUGAGAGGACGACCAGCCACACUGGGACUGAGACACGGCCCAGACUCCUACGGGAGGCAGCAGUGGGGAAUUUUGGACAAUGGACGCAAGUCUGAUCCAGCCAUGCCGCGUGCGGGAAGAAGGCC
rnacentral:rRNA from 1 species